UACGAAGGGGGCUAGCGUUGUUCGGAAUUACUGGGCGUAAAGCGCACGUAGGCGGCUCGAUCAGUCAGAGGUGAAAUCCCAGGGCUCAACCCUGGAACUGCCUUUGAUACUGUCGAUCUGGAGUAUGGAAGAGGUGAGUGGAAUUCCGAGUGUAGAGGUGAAAUUCGUAGAUAUUCGGAAGAACACCAGUGGCGAAGGCGACACACUGGCCCAUUACUGACGCUGAGGCGCGAAAGCGUGGGGAGCAAACAGA
rnacentral:rRNA from 1 species